rnacentral:tRNA from 1 species
GCGGGGGUUGCCGAGCCUGGACAAAGGCGCGGGAUUCAGGGUCCCGUCCCGAAGGGGUUCGUGGGUUCAAAUCCCACCCCCCGCA